rnacentral:rRNA from 1 species
GAUGAACGCUGGCGGCGUGCCUAAUACAUGCAAGUCGAGCGAACGGACGAGAAGCUUGCUUUUCUGAUGUUAGCGGCGGACGGGUGAGUAACACGUGGAUAACCUACCUAUAAGACUGGGAUAACUUCGGGAAACCGGAGCUAAUACCGGAUAAUAUUUUGAACCGCAUGGUUCAAAAGUGAAAGACGGUCUUGCUGUCACUUAUAGAUGGAUCCGCGCUGCAUUAGCUAGUUGGUAAGGUAACGGCUUACCAAGGCAACGAUGCCUAGCCGACCCGAGCGGGUGAACGGCCACACGGGAACUGAGACACGGUCCAGACUCCUACGGGAGGCAGCAGUAGGGAAUCUUCCGCAAUGGGCGAAAGCCUGACGGAGCAACGCCGCGUGAGUGAUGAAGGUCUUCGGAUCGUAAAACUCUGUUAUUAGGGAAGAACAGAUGUGUAAGUAACUGUGCACAUCUUGACGGUACCUAAUCAGAAAGCCACGGCUAACUACGUG